CUCUUUUACAUGCGAAAGAAUGGGAGCACGCUCUCAUUUCAAAAUAUGGCUAAUGUCAAAGCCGUUUGCACUUUGGAGCCAGGCCUGUUCAAUUUUACAAAUAGCAAGUUUUUCUUACAAUCAGGGUACGGUGGCAACGUGACUUGAAACCCCCAGAAUCAUACCCGGGAUGAAUGCAGGUUUUCUUGGUGGUGAUUAUCUUAAAGGAGGAGGUUGUUCCUGCACGCCAUCCAUCUCCAGCGUUCGAAGGUUAGAUUGUUGGGGUGGUGUGUCUUGUUCACCAGAUUGGCUGUUUCUGUGAUGAAUCAACUAGCUCACUAUGACUGCUAAUGAAAACACUGGAACACCUGAGAAACUGAAGGGUGGCGUGUUGGGGCAAGGGUGCUUACAUAUCAAGCCUUUUCAAUAGUUUGUUUUUCUCCAGGUUCUGUUAGCAGUGCUGUUACUUGGUGCUUCAGAGAUAUGGUGACUGGCCGAGCGCAAAGGAGCCAUGCCAGGAAAACUAAGAGCACAUCUUCAUAAAGUCCAGGCUAAAGUAAGGUGAGAAAACUAAGAUGUAAAGUGUACCAAGUUAGUAACUUCCCUAUGAAGAAACAUUCACACGUCUUACUUCCUGUCCUAGCUCCAGAGCCUGAAAAGGUGAACCCACUGGGGCUGGCUGGGGGAAAAGAGGAAAUUUUGUUCCAGAAGGAACUGUCUGAGGGAUCAUUUGUAUGUGUGGAAAGGGAAGAAUUAAACUUUGAUUAAAA
rnacentral:lncRNA from 1 species